AUUGAACGCUGGCGGCAGGCUUAACACAUGCAAGUCGAGCGGCGCGGCGGACGGGGGAGUAAUGCUUAGGAAUCUGCCUCUUAGUGGGGGACAACAUCUCGGAGGGGCUGCUAAUACCGCCUGCUAGUAGAUGAGCCUAAGUAGGAUUAGGUCGUUGGGGGGGUAAAGGACUACCAAGGCGGCGAUCUGUAGCGGGUCUGAGAGGAUGAUCCGCCACACUGGGACUGAGAAAAGGCCCAGACGCCUACGGGAUGCAGCAGUGGGGAAUAUUGGACAAUGGGGGGAACCUUGAUCCAGCUAUGCCGCGUGUGUGAAGAAGGCCGUAUGGUUGUAAAGCACUUUAAGCGAGGAGGCGUUACUCGCAGAAUAAGCACCGGCUAACUCUGUGCCAGCAGCCGCGGUAAUUC
rnacentral:rRNA from 1 species